CACGUAGGCACCAAGCGUUGUCCGGAUUUAUUGGGCGUAAAGAGCUCGUAGGCGGUUCAGUAAGUCAGGUGUGAAAUCUUUGGGCUUAACCCAAAGCGUGCACUUGAUACUGCUGUGACUUGAGUUCGGUAGGGGAGUGGGGAAUUCCUAGUGUAGAGGUGAAAUUCGUAGAUAUUGGGAAGAACACCGGUGGCGAAGGUGGCUCUCUGGACCGUAACUGACGCUGAGGCGCGAAAGCGUGGGGAGCAAACAGG
rnacentral:rRNA from 1 species